GAUGCCGCGUGAGUGAAGAAGGCCUUUGGGUUGUAAAGCUCUUUUGUAGGGGAAGAUAAUGACUGUACCCUAAGAAUAAGGUCCGGCUAACUUCGUGCCAGCAGCCGCGGUAAUACGAAGGGACCUAGCGUAGUUCGGAAUUACUGGGCGUAAAGCGCGCGUAGGCCGUUGAGUUAGUUAAUUGUGAAAUCCCAAAGCUUAACUUUGGAACUGCAAUUAAAACUGCUCAACUAGAGUUUGAUAGAGGAAAGCGGAAUACAUAGUGUAGAGGUGAAAUUCGUAGAUAUUAUGUAGAACACCAGUUGCGAAGGCGGCUUUCUGGGUCAACACUGACGCUGAGGCGCGAAAGUAUGGGUAGCAAAGAGGAUUAGAUACCCUCGUAGUCCAUACCAUAAACGAUGAUUGCUAGAUGUUGGAAAUUUAUUUUCAGUAUCGCAGCUAACGCAUUAAGCAAUCCGCCUGGGGAGUACGACCGCAAGGUUAAAACUCAAAUGAAUUGACGGGGACCCGCACAAGCGGUGGAGCAUGUGGUUUAAUUCGAAGAUACGCGCAGAACCUUACCAACCCUUGACAUGUCUGUCGCGAGUUUAGGAAACUAGACUUUUCGGUUCGGCCGGACAGAACACAGGUGCUGCAUGGCUGUCGUCAGCUCGUGUCGUGAGAUGUUGGGUAA
rnacentral:rRNA from 1 species